rnacentral:rRNA from 1 species
GAUGAACGCUGGCGGCGUGCCUAAUACAUGCAAGUCGAGCGAACAGACGAGGAGCUUGCUCCUCUGACGUUAGCGGCGGACGGGUGAGUAACACGUGGAUAACCUACCUAUAAGACUGGGAUAACUUCGGGAAACCGGAGCUAAUACCGGAUAAUAUAUUGAACCGCAUGGUUCAAUAGUGAAAGACGGUUUUGCUGUCACUUAUAGAUGGAUCCGCGCCGCAUUAGCUAGUUGGUAAGGUAACGGCUUACCAAGGCGACGAUGCGUAGCCGACCUGAGAGGGUGAUCGGCCACACUGGAACUGAGACACGGUCCAGACUCCUACGGGAGGCAGCAGUAGGGAAUCUUCCGCAAUGGGCGAAAGCUUGACGGAGCAACGCCGCGUGAGUGAUGAAGGUCUUCGGAUCGUAAAACUCUGUUAUUAGGGAAGAACAAAUGUGUAAGUAACUAUGCACGUCUUGACGGUACCUAAUCAGAAAGCCACGGCUAACUACGU